rnacentral:tRNA from 1 species
AAUAAAAUGCCUGACUAAAGGGCUAUCUUGAUAGGAUAAAUCAUGUGUAACAACACUUUUAUUA